rnacentral:rRNA from 1 species
CACACCGCCCGUCACAUCACGAAAGUGGGUUGUACUAGAAGUCCGCACGCCGACCGCAAGGGGGCAGCGGCCCAAGGUAUGACUCAUGAUUGGGGUG